rnacentral:misc_RNA from 1 species
UUUUAAAUAUUAUAUAUAUUGUUAUUAUUGCAUUAAUAUAUGUAUGAAAAACAUUUAUUGAACUUAUUUGAUUAUGUUUGUUAUUAAUCAGAUUAUUAAAUUUGACAUUUAACUCAUCUGAAAAAAAUGUGCUAAAAUUCUCAAAUUAGAUAAGGUGGAAAAUAUUAUGUAAACAUUCUCUCUGUGUGUGAGUCUAUAAAUAUAUUAGCUUACAAUAUACCAUCUAUUUGAUUCUUCCUUUGCAUUAAAUUAUUUAUAAUUGAUUAACGUAUAUGUUAUCAGAUUCGUAGCCAUAUCACCAUUAUAUCAGUAUUUACAGGUUCUAAGUUCUUGGCAUCUCUUUAGUUUAAUCUAUUGGGUGUUUUUCUGGGAGUGAGAUGUACCUCUUGCCAAGAAAAAAGGAAUAAAAAUUGAAAUGGGACCAACAAAUGGGAAAUAUGGUUCUUAACUGGUGAACAUUCUUGACAGCAUGUAUGCUUCAUGAGUACAUGUUACAUCAUGACAGAUUGAGUUUCCAAGGUUGAAGUUGUAAUUUUCUUUUU